UUCGAACCUAAUGAACAAUCCCCAGAUUCAGCAGCUCAUGUCCGGCAUGAUUUCGGGUGGCAACAACCCCUUGGGAACUCCCGGCACCAGCCCCUCGCAGAACGACCUGGCCAGCCUCAUCCAGGCGGGCCAGCAGUUUGCCCAGCAGAUGCAGCAGCAGAACCCAGAGUUGAUAGAGCAGCUCAGGAGCCAGAUCCGGAGUCGGA
rnacentral:misc_RNA from 1 species